AACGAACGCUGGCGGCAUGCCUAACACAUGCAAGUCGAACGAGACCUUCGGGUCUAGUGGCGCACGGGUGCGUAACGCGUGGGAAUCUACCCUCAGGUUCGGAAUAACUCAGAGAAAUUUGAGCUAAUACCGGAUGAUGACGUAAGUCCAAAGAUUUAUCGCCUGAGGAUGAGCCCGCGUAGGAUUAGGUAGUUGGUGAGGUAAAGGCUCACCAAGCCGACGAUCCUUAGCUGGUCUGAGAGGAUGAUCAGCGACACUGGGACGGAGACACGGCCCAGACUCCUACGGGAGGCAGCAGUGGGGAAUAUUGGACAAUGGGCGAAAGCCUGAUCCAGCAAUGCCGCGUGAGUGAUGAAGGCCUUAGGGUUGUAAAGCUCGUUUACCCGGGAUGAUAAUGACAGUACCGGGAGAAUAAGCUCCGGCUAACUCCGUG
rnacentral:rRNA from 1 species